rnacentral:lncRNA from 1 species
CUUUUUAUUGGAGGUGGGAAAUGCCUCAACCCAACCAGAGAAAGUGUCCACAAAGACAAGGAGGUAUUUAGUACGCCGUACUGUGGGCAUGUUGGUGAAAUCUACCUGCCAGUCAGCAGCAGGAACAUGUCCCCGGGCCUGGUGGGAGGGGAAUGGUUUGGGCCUUAAAGGAGUAUGAGUGUUGGUCUGCUGACAGAUCUGACAACUAGAGGCUAUAUUCUAUAGCAUGGCUUUGUCAGAGGAUGUGAGGGAGAAGAAGCUCUGUAAGAAGAAGGUUAAAGACUGAGAAUUGGAAUGGAAUAGAGUAUGGAGGAACUCGAAAAGGUCCUUGUUCUUACUGGAAGAAGUAGGGGCUUCAGAUGGACAGUCUAAAGUGACCAUUAUAUGUCUCCCAGAGGGGUCAUAAUUGGAAGUGGUAGCAGCCAUCUGUGCUGCCUGGUCAGCUUUGUCAUUGCCCUCAGUGAUAAGAGAGCCAUCCUUCUGAUGGGACCUACAAUGGACAACUCCCAACUGGGUGGGUAAGUGAGAGGCCUCUAUCAAAUUGGUUAUAAGAGCCUAAUUAGUGAUCGCAUUACUUUUAGUGGUAAGUAGGCCUCACUCCUUCCAUAUUGCAGCAUGG